rnacentral:rRNA from 1 species
AAUACCAAGGCGCUUGAGAGAACUCGGGUGAAGGAACUAGGCAAAAUGGUGCCGUAACUUCGGGAGAAGGCACGCUGACACGUAGGUGAAGUGAUUUACUCACGGAGCUGAAGUCAGUCGAAGAUACCAGCUGGCUGCAACUGUUUAUUAAAAACACAGCACUGUGCAAACACGAAAGUGGACGUAUACGGUGUGACGCCUGCCCGGUGCCGGAAGGUUAAUUGAUGGGGUCAGCGCAAGCGAAGCUCCUGAUCGAAGCCCCGGUAAACGGCGGCCGUAACUAUAACGGUCCUAAGGUAGCGAAAUUCCUUGUCGGGUAAGUUCCGACCUGCACGAAUGGCGUAAUGAUGGCCAGGCUGUCUCCACCCGAGACUCAGUGAAAUUGAACUCGCUGUGAAGAUGCAGUGUACCCGCGGCAAGACGGAAAGACCCCGUGAACCUUUACUAUAGCUUGACACUGAACAUUGAGCCUUGAUGUGUAGGAUAGGUGGGAGGCUUUGAAGUGUGGACGCCAGUCUGCAUGGAGCCGACCUUGAAAUACCACCCUUUAAUGUUUGAUGUUCUAACGUGGACCCGUUACCCGGGUUGCGGACAGUGUCUGGUGGGUAGUUUGACUGGGGCGGUCUCCUCCUAAAGAGUAACGGAGGAGCACGAAGGUUGGCUAAUCCUGGUCGGACAUCAGGAGGUUAGUGCAAUGGCAUAAGCCAGCUUGACUGCGAGCGUGACGGCGCGAGCAGGUGCGAAAGCAGGUCAUAGUGAUCCGGUGGUUCUGAAUGGAAGGGCCAUCGCUCAACGGAUAAAAGGUACUCCGGGGAUAACAGGCUGAUACCGCCCAAGAGUUCAUAUCGACGGCGGUGUUUGGCACCUCGAUGUCGGCUCAUCACAUCCUGGGGCUGAAGUAGGUCCCAAGGGUAUGGCUGUUCGCCAUUUAAAGUGGUACGCGAGCUGGGUUUAGAACGUCGUGAGACAGUUCGGUCCCUAUCUGCCGUGGGCGCUGGAGAACUGAGGGGGGCUGCUCCUAGUACGAGAGGACCGGAGUGGACGCAUCACUGGUGUUCGGGUUGUCAUGCCAAUGGCACUGCCCGGUAGCUAAAUGCGGAAGAGAUAAGUGCUGAAAGCAUCUAAGCACGAAACUUGCCCCGAGAUGAGUUCUCCCUGAGACUUUAGGUCUCCUGAAGGAACGUUGAAGACGACGACGUUGAUAGGCCGGGUGUGUAAGCGCAGCGAUGCGUUGAGCUAACCGGUACUAAUGAACCGUGAGGCUUAACCUU